CACAAAAAUAUAUUAAAAAAUAAGAAACCAACCAACGUGGGAGAAUCCUACUUAUCCUAUCAUUCUUCUCUCCUUGAAUUUCUUUUAUUUAAUCAAUUUCAACUUCCGUUAGAUCAAAAUUUUCACCCACUACCAAGCAGUAACUCCCCAUAUUCAGUUACUUGCAGUUUACAAAUUUCACUUCAAUACCUUUCAUAUGCUCAGCCAAGGGAAAAAUUUCUAAGCGUAAAAUGAAAAGGACAUUCAAAAUGGUGUCAUCAGUUCCAAAUUCAGAGAGAACCAUGAACAACCGUAGAAACAAAAACUACCAAGAACCCACGUACCAGAAGAUAAAUGCAGAAAUGAUAUUGUGUUCAACACUGGUGAGUGUGUUAGAAAUAUUAGUUGUGUUUUAUUGAAAAAUUAAAAAAAAAAAAAGGUCAUAUAAUACUCCACUCCUCUAUUUUCGGAGAAAAUAUUAAUCUAACAAAAUUGUAUUAAAAAAAUAUCUAAGAAAUUUAAAAAUGUGAUAAAAAGAAUUAAUAUCUCACAAAAUUCUAUAUUUAUAUAUAGAUAUAUACGAAAUCAAUGUGGGAGAAAGAAAGGGGUAGAGGUUGCCUUGAGUUUUCAAAAAGGAGUGUAAUUCGCCCACUACAAACGCUAACUUCCCAGUUCAUAAAAUCCCAUUUUUUCCGUUUCUACUCAUUUUCCCAUAUCCAAAUUCAAAUGUUCUAAUUUUCCCCUCGGUUAUGUAAUUGCUAUCAAGAGUUGUUGCUUGAUAUUACAGACUCUCACACUCCAACGUGGGAUAAAACGUGUUUAAGCAACGUCUGAGUCAUCAUUCUUCUUCUCUUUUUUUUUUUUUCAAAUUUUUCGUUUUUUUUGCUUUGCCAUUCUUCUCUCUCUCCCUCUCCCUCUCCCCAGGCGUAAAAAGGAAAUUAAUCUGGGUGUAAGCUUCUUUCUUUUCACUUCCAUGGGUUUUCGCCUUUGAAACGUAUGUGCUAUAGCUUUUGUGGUUAAAAUCUUGGUGCUUUUUAUUUCAAUUUUCUUAUUCUUUCUCUCUCCUUUUUGUUAUAGGGUCAAGAUGAUUCUAAAAGUAACUGGAAUAAAAGUAUUGCCAUCAGAAAUUGUCAAAGUUAAAGAUUAACCAUGAAAAUCUAAACCAUCAAGUGCAAGCAAAUGGGUGGCAAGCAUGGCUUUGAUUUCAAACGUAUCUGAUGCCAAUGUAUUUCUGUGUGGAAGUAAUCUGUCUAUAUUUUCAAGCAGGGAAUAACCAUUAGUGUUGCUAUGAACAUACACAACUAAAUCUUAUGGCAUGCACAGCCUGCACUUGCAGAGAACCAUUUGCACAAUUAUUGCCUUAUCUGUUGUUCAUUACUGUGAUAGAACUCAUUUUAUUCAUGUUCUUUGUAAUUCAUAUCAAUUGAUGUCUUAGAGAUCAAUGUGUUUGUGGACAGAUGUAGUCUAAAUUUAUUCAUUAAAACCCAAUUUAACUUCAAAAUUGUAGUUUUCGUUCA